rnacentral:misc_RNA from 1 species
UUUCCGUAGGUGAACCUGCGGAAGGAUCAUUACCGAAUUGUCAACAAGAGUUGUUGCUGGUCCUCAAAAAGAGGGCAUGUGCACGCUCUGUUUACACAUCCACUCACACCUGUGCACUUUCUGUAGUUCUAUAGCCAGGGAGGCCCUGUCUUCCUCCUGUAGUCCUACGUCUCUUCACACACACACACAGAUGGUGAUAAAGUCUCAUGGAAUGGACACUGCAUUUAAUGCAAUACAAUACAACUUUCAGCAACGGAUCUCUUGGCUCUC